rnacentral:rRNA from 1 species
CAUGUAGGCGGGAAUGCAAGUCAGAUGUGAAAUCUUAAGGCUCAACCUUAUUUAGCAUCUGAAACUGUGUUUCUUGAGUACUGGAGAGGAAAGUGGAAUUCCUAGUGUAGCGGUGAAAUGCGUAGAUAUUAGGAGGAACACCAGUGGCGAAGGCGGCUUUCUGGACAGUAACUGACGCUGAGAUGCGAAAGUGUGGGUAGCAAACA